rnacentral:rRNA from 1 species
AGAGUUUUAUCCUGGCUCAGGAUGAACGCUAGCGGCAGGCUUAACACAUGCAAGUCGAGGGGCAGCGCGGUAGUAGCAAUACUACUGGCGGCGACCGGCAGAAGGGUGCGUAACACGUGAGCAACCUGCCCGUGACAGGGGGAUAACCGACGGAAACGUCGCCUAAUACCCCGUAACAACAUAGGAGGCAUCUCCAGUGUUUGAAAGACACGUCAGUCACGGAUGGGCUCGCGGUACAUUAGCUGGUUGGCGGGGUAACGGCCCACCAAGGCGACGAUGUAUAGGGGUUCUGAGAGGAAGGUCCCCCACACUGGAACUGAGACACGGUCCAGACUCCUACGGGAGGCAGCAGUGAGGAAUAUUGGACAAUGGAGGCAACUCUGAUCCAGCCAUGCCGCGUGAAGGAAUAAGGCCCUAUGGGUCGUAAACUUCUUUUGACGCAGAGCAAUAAGGACUACGUGUAGUCUGAUGAGAGUAUGCGUCGAAUAAGCAUCGGCUAACUCCGUGCCAGCAGCCGCGGUAAUACGGAGGAUGCGAGCGUUAUCCGGAUUUAUUGGGUUUAAAGGGUGCGUAGGCUGAAGAUCAAGUCAGCGGUGAAAUGUCCCGGCUCAACCGGGGCCUUGCCGUUGAAACUGGUCAUCUGGAAUGCGGAUGCCGUGGGAGGAAUGUGUGGUGUAGCGGUGAAAUGCAUAGAUAUCACACAGAACACCGAUUGCGAAGGCAUCUCACGAAUCCGCAAUUGACGCUGAGGCACGAAAGCGUGGGGAUAAAACAGGAUUAGAUACCCUGGUAGUCCACGCAGUAAACGAU